GGAGGUAAAAGUCGUAACAAGGUUUCCGUAGGUGAACCUGCGGAAGGAUCAUUAACACGUAUCCACGUAACAACCAACUACCACGAACUUGUUUUCCCCGUUACCGCCUAACCGCUAAGCUGUUGUUCUCGGAUUAUAAUGGGUCCUUGUUCUAUUUCUUCGGAAAUGGUUCAAUGUGGCAUAUUCGGUUCAACUAUCACUCCUCGAGAGUGUGGCGAAGCACCUGGCUGGUCGGGCUCAUGAUUUCAUUCUUCUUUCCAACCAUUUUGGGGGAAGUUUGAUCCCCAUACCAAUUUCACCUAUUUUACCCAAAUUGACAAUUUUUCUAUUCAUUGAGAGAAAUCUCUUUGAAUUUACUAAGAUUUUAUCUUAACUAAGCACAACUCUUAGCAAUGGAUAUCUUGGUUCUC
rnacentral:misc_RNA from 1 species